CCUACGGGAGGCUGCAGUGAGGAAUAUUGGUCAAUGGGCGCUAGCCUGAACCAGCCAAGUAGCGUGAAGGAUGACUGCCCUAUGGGUUGUAAACUUCUUUUAUAUGGGAAUAAAGUGCAGUAUGUAUACUGCUUUGCAUGUACCUUAUGAAUAAGGAUCGGCUAACUCCGUGCCAGCAGCCGCGGUAAUACGGAGGAUUCGAGCGUUAUCCGGAUUUAUUGGGUUUAAAGGGAGCGUAGGCGGGUUGUUAAGUCAGUUGUGAAAGUUUGCGGCUCAACCGUAAAAUUGCAGUUGAUACUGGCAGCCUUGAGUACAGUAGAGGUAGGCGGAAUUCGUGGUGUAGCGGUGAAAUGCUUAGAUAUCACGAAGAACUCCGAUUGCGAAGGCAGCCUGCUGGACUGUAACUGACGCUGAUGCUCGAAAGUGUGGGUAUCAAACAGGAUUAGAUACCCGAGUAGUC
rnacentral:rRNA from 1 species